rnacentral:rRNA from 1 species
GAUGAACGCUGGCGGCGUGCCUAAUACAUGCAAGCCGAGCGAACGGACGAGAAGCUUGCUUCUCUGAUGUUAGCGGCGGACGGGUGAGUAACACGUGGAUAACCUACCUAUAAGACUGGGAUAACUUCGGGAAACCGGAGCUAAUACCGGAUAAUAUUUUGAACCGCAUGGUUCAAAAGUGAAAGACGGUCUUGCUGUCACUUAUAGAUGGAUCCGCGCUGCAUUAGCUAGUUGGUAAGGUAACGGCUUACCAAGGCAACGAUGCAUAGCCGACCUGAGAGGGUGAUCGGCCACACUGGAACUGAGACACGGUCCCGACUCCUACGGGAGGCAGCAGUAGGGAAUCUUCCGCAAUGGGCGAAAGCCUGACGGAGCAACGCCGCGUGAGUGAUGAAGGUCUUCGGAUCGUAAAACUCUGUUAUUAGGGAAGAACAUAUGUGUAAGUAACUGUGCACAUCUUGACGGUACCUAAUCAGAAAGCCACGGCUAACUACGUG